rnacentral:lncRNA from 1 species
GGCGUUCUUUUAAUUGUUAUUAUGAAAAUGUUCUUUUCCAUGAAGCACACAUAACACAUACCGAAUUACCGAUCAAUCUGUCUCCACUUGACAAGAAAUAUUCUCUUUUCCAAACAGGUUACAGGUCCACAUCAUUAAGGUAUGACAUAGUUGCAGAAACACCACUGCACAUAUGUGAAAACUGAAAGUUAGGGCUCAAGGGGCGACUGUGUUUUGCUAGUCAACGGCUAAGUUGAUGUGUGAGAUCCAACUCAGCUCACGGAUCUGGCCAGGCAAGACUUGCUUUCCAAUGUCCCAAACUCUGUUCAUGCCUAGCUGAUAUCCCCAUCUGUUCCCAUGAGGUUGCACAAUUCCUUCCAGCAUUAGCAUCACCAAUCACUAGCCUGCUACCACAGACAAACAAGCUGGAGUAUCUAGGAGAGACAGGCAGGGGAGAAGCAAUUGCAGACCAUGCAGUGAGCUUGGCCAAGUCGGUGGAGGGGGCUGUGACCAAGGCACUGGCGGCAAUUGAGGAGGAGGCAACCCUGAGGAAGAGCACGCAGAAUGACCUGGCAUUCAUCACUGGUGAGUUCCAGAUGAUGCAAUCCUUUCUCAAUGUCGCAGACGAGGAACGCGCCAGGAACAACGUGGUGAGGACCUGGGUGAGACAGGUCCGUGACCUCGCCUACAACGUGGAGGACUGCAUCGAGUAUGUGAUCCACCUGGACAAGGCAUCAGACUGACGCUGCCGCUGCCUCCCAGGCUUCAUCAGGCCCGAGCUGCCGCUGGACAAGGCGAUUGCUGAGAUAAAGCUGCUCAAGAUCAGGGUUGAGGAGGUGAGCCUUCGGAACAUGCGCUACAACCUCAUCAGUGAUUCAGGUUCCAAGCCCAUCAUGCAGCAACAGUUGGUGCCUGGUGCUUCUGUUGGUGCCACAACAUUUGACAUGCUCAUCAAAGCAAGAGAUACCACAAAGAUGCAACGAGGAUUAGGAGAUCUAACUAAGCUGUUGAUCACCAAGAAACCCAGUGGCAACCUUGGACUCGGGGUGAUCUCGUUGUGGGCGGCAGAUGGUAAUGCUAAUACCACACCCGUCAUCAGGGAGGCCUAUGGCGAACCAGAAGUAUUUGAAAGCUCCGGACAUCGUGGCUGGGCAAAGCUGAUGCAUCCUUUCAAUCCCCACGAGUUCCAGUUCCAGCGGAGUUUGCUGAUUCAGUUCCACACAAACUCUUGCCUACACAACAAACUGGGCGUAGACGUAGGUACACUCAAGAGAUUGGGAGUGGCUGCAGAAGGCGAACUUAUUGAAGAGUUCAUGGAUCAAAUGAAGAAGUGAUACCUGGUUGUCCUGGAAAAUGUUUCCAGUAUGGUAGAGUGGGACACUGUCAGAGCAUACCUGCCUGAAGCGAAAAACGACAGUUGGGUCAUCAUCUCCUCGCAGCAAUCUGAAGUCGCCGGGCUGUGCGUUGGAGAUCCAUGGCAAGUGUUUGAACUUAAGCAGUCCUCAGCUGAACACUCUGUAUGUGUCUUCUUCAGGGAGGUAAGCAGCUGAAACACGAUGGAAUAACUUUCUGGAAAAAAUGGCCUUAAUCUCUUUUGUUCUUCUUUUGGACAUCAGUAGUUUCCUGUAAACAACAUUGAUUUACAUAUUCUAAUCAUAUGCUAGAAAAAAUUAAUUUAAAACUAUUGAUAGAUAUAGAAGUACUUUGAUUAAAAAUGUACAGUAGCAGUUCUACUUAUGUUGCUCAUCACCAGUGAAAUUGAAACUGUGAAAACCUUGGGGCUGGCUGUGCAAAAGUGCAGACAAUGGUAGCCACUGGUAUAUUUAUCAUUAACAAAAGCACCCCCCCCCCCCUCUACACAGACGCAUGCACACGCACACACAAUGAGACUGAUUCCCCAUAGGGAAUAACAGAGAUAUGUUUAGGAGAAAGUAGUGGAAUAAACUCUUAUAUUUGUUCAGUGAAAUCAGCAAAUCCCAACUCAUAAUGUAACAGUUGACACAGGAUUCAGAAACUGUGCCAUCCCUCAAAUGUUUGUUGCAUGUUGCAUUAAUUCCUCAUCCGAAGGUGCACAUGUACCCCUCCCCUUAAAUUUUCUGUAUUUUCAGGGUUCUCAAGGCGACAUAGAUAAAAGCAAGCAAACCACUAUGGUGAUGGCUAAAAAAUAAUGAGGCGUCAUCAUCAAUGGGUGUCCAAAACAAUGCUGAUAUGUUGAUUGGUCGAUACCCCCUAGUUGAAGUACACAAUUCACAGAUGAAAGAUCUUCGUGGCUAUUUAGCCAGAGCAUGUGUUAAUGGUUUUCCUGUGAUAUCUGUGUGGGGGAUAGCUGGUGUUGGGAAAUCAGCUCUAGUCAGGAACUUAUACUAUGACAGAAUGAAUGACAGUGCCACCAGAAUAUUUACCAUGUACAGUUGGGUGGAUGUAUCACAUCCAUUCAAUUUAAGGAACUUGGCUUGGAGCUUACUUUCAGAACUUCAGUCAGAUUCUCAUCAGCAAAAUGGAAUCAGCAAUCCCAUUCAAGAUUGUCAUGAGCUUCUGGAGAAGCAUAGCUGCCUUUUCAUUAUAGAUAGUUUGCAAUCCACAGAAGAGUGGGACCUAAUACGUCAUUCCUUGGUAUCUACGCAUUCUAGAAGCAUCAUCGUUGUGCUUACAACUGAAGCAAGCAUAGCCAUACAUUGUGCAAAUCGAGAAGAGGCAAUGUAUAAUGUCAAAAGUCUAGAAGAUGACGAAGCAUGUGAUCUCUUCAAAAAGGAGGUGUGUUUUCAUACAAGAUACUUGCCUAUUCUCUUGGUUUAUACAUCUUGAUGCUCAAAUUCAAUAGUUAGUCUAUGAUUUCUCACCCCCAGCCCCCCCCCCCCCCCCCCCCUUGCCUCCCUCCACCGGGAGAAUGUUUUGCAAAACAUGAAAAAUGAUGUGAACAUUUUCUUUUGCACCAAUGUAGUUUUAUCCAAGUUUUUUUUCCCUGUUGUUAUGGUUAUCCGGACUUCUUAUAAAAGACGCAGAAUGAUCUUAUCCAAGUCUUCAGAAAAUGUACUUUAGUAUGCUUAACAAAACUCCAUAUCCAUAUGGUAUGAUAAAAGUUCAGAACAAUUCUAGGACCAUGAAUAAAAAAAUUCUCUAUUAAAGAAUUAUAUAUUCAGUAGUAUUGAUUUUAUAAACAAAUAGACAAAUUACAAUCAUACUAUCAAUAUAGAUAUGUCACAAUAUUUCAACAAAACUAUAUUUUUUUCUAAAUAAAAACUGACAGAUUAUAACAGACAACAAGCUGCGAUCCACAAUUUGAAGGAUGAAACAAACAGGGCCUUGCACAUGUAAUUUUUCCAAUUUUUCAAUGAGUUUAUGCAUGCUAACAGCACAAACUAAAACCAAAUCUAAAGUGUGAUUAGUUGAUACAAUAAUUAUUACUUUUCUUUUCUCAAACAAUGUUGGAGAGCUGCAUGUCAUUUCAUUAAGAAGGAAAAUAUAAUAAUUAUUACUAAUAUAACUUCUUUUCAAUAAUAUAGGUAGGGAAAUUUCCAGAUUCAUCUGCUUUAAGGGAUUCUGAAGAUCCCAAGCUACGAAAACUUAUUUCCAAGUGUGGCGGACUUCCCAAAGUAAAAGUUGCUGUAGCUGACUUUUUGGCACCCAUGACAGUCAGCUGGAUGAAAACUGCAAUGAAUCUUAGUGACAGAUUUAUGCAUGAUCUAGAGACCAAACCAGAAUUUGACAACCUGCGUGGACUGUGGAUGCAUUCCUACUUCCGUACUUGCCCAGAUUAUCUUAAGCCCAUGUAUCCUCUACCUAUCCAUUUUCCCGCAAGGCCAAAGCAUUCAACGAAGGCGUCUAGUGAGGCGGUGGAUCGCAGAGGGUUGCUCGAGGGACACAUCCAACAGGUCAGCUGAGGAUAAUGGGGAAAAAUUCUUCUUGAUGCUCCUUGAUCUGAGUAUCAUCCAGCAGACACCACAUUCAGUCACAACUGCAGAUACAAGAAUGGUCUUGUGCCAAGUUAACGGCUUCUUCCGUGAGUACAUCAUAUCAAGGCGAAAGGAUGAGGACAGGUGCACAUUGACCAGUCAACGCACAGGACAGCACCUUGUCAUAAAGGAAAACUGGGACAGAGACAAGAUUGUGUUCAGUAGUAUUGACUUUUCAAGGCUACGCUCCCUCGCUGUGUUUGGACAGUGGAAGCCUUUCUUCAUCAGUGAAACUAUGAGGGUGCUCCGGGUGCUUGAUCUCGAGAAUUCAACAGGUGUGACAUAUAAAUACCUGGAGCAGAUGAUGAAGCUGCUUCCUCGCCUCAAGUUCCUCUCUCUGAGAGGAAUAAGAGAGAUCUACUAUCUGCCAGGCUCAUUUGCUGGUCUGAGGCAGCUUGAAACUCUGGAUGUCAGGGGCACCUCCAUAGUCACUUUGCCACCAUCCAUCACCAAGCUUACCAAGCUGCAGUACAUCCGUGCUGGCACAGCUAAGGAACCAUCAGUACCAUAUGCUCAUUUCUCUUGGUUGCCUAGCUGCUGUAGAUCUUGUCAUGUAGGUGUUAUUAAGGUGCCUGCAGAGAUUGAUAAACUUACAGCCUUGCACACUCUUGGUGCUGUCAACAUUGGUUUUUCAGGGGGAGAGGCCAUCCUGAAAGAGCUCAAGAAGCUCACUCAAUUGCACAAGCUCGAAGUGACCGGCAUCAACAAGAAAAACAGCAAAGAGUUCUGUUCCACCAUCUCAGACCACGUUCAUUUGGAAUCCUUAUCAGUUUGGCUCUGCAUGGGCAAUAACAAACCAUGUUUGAAUGACAUGUUCUGGCCUCCGCAGAAACAUCUGGAAAAACUUCAGAGCCUUAAACUAUAUGGUCUUGCAAAAGUGGUGCCACCAUGGAUCAAAGAUCUUGCUAAACUCACAAAGUUACAUGUGAAUAUGGCCAUAUAAAAAAUGUUAACAUAAGUGAAGUUCUUGGGGAAAUAAAAGGACUAUGUAUUCUGCGUCUUGAUAUCAGGCCACUUGAAAAUGGUGAUGGUGACCUUAACUUCUGUGUCAAGGUGAAUGGAGUAGAGCAGCAGUUAUUUGAACGUCAGGAUACUUGAGAUUGCUUGUAACUCUGAGUUAAAUGUAUCCUUUGGAUCAUUAGCAAUGGAAAAUCUGCUGACAGCUAAAUGCUGUGGGUCGGCAGUGAAGUUUGCUGAGCUAAAGAGUCUCUCUAAAGGAAAACUCCAGGAGGUGCGGUAUUUGGGUUCCUUUAACAAAACAGAUAAGGUGGACGUGGAGAAUCAACUUAGCCAGCAUCCUAAGACACCUGCUUUGAAACUGGAGGAACCAUGUUUGUCCUGAUGCAUACUGACAAUCGGUCUGCUGCUUGCUGAUUCUGGCACCAGAGCAGGACCAGGACUAAAUGACUGGUGUUUUUCAUUUAAACCUUCCCGAUUCAUUUACCUACACUCUAGGCAUUUGAACUAAAACAUCUGCGUCCAUGGCAGUGUAAAGAUAAUUGUUGCUUCUCGAUGUCAAAAUCUACUUGGAGAAAACUAAGGGGUGAACAUAUAUAGCAAAAAUGCUGAAUUGACUCGAGUGUGUUUACUCUGUACUGCAAAAGUUUUAUGCAUCUGUGGUAUAUAAUGGACGUGUGCAUUGACACUGUAAUUCAAUUAUCUUAUUUUAAUUUCAUGCUUGCUGUCCCCUGAUUCCUUGCGUGAUAUUCUGUAGAUGUCGUCUCUCAUAGUUUCUUAUUACUGGUUCAUGUUAAUUCCAGGUCUCAUGGAGUUGAUAUGUCGAUGUGCCUAAAGUUUUGACCAAUUGUAGGAACCGAUCUUUCUCCAUUAGAGUACACGAUCUCUUGUGCUAGGUGCUAUGCACAUCUGAUUUGUGCUAGUCCAUCAAAACGUGCUCCUGCACAGGCAAGUAAUCCUAAGCGACAAGGAUAAAUGUGAUACCCAUAGCUAACCAGAAUUGCAUAUCUUUUUUUUACAUUUGUUCUUAUUUUAAUACUUUCUCAUCUUUGUCUGGUUGUAAUAGAGUUUAGCACCAACUAAAUAUAUGCUUUCCUAUGCCCAUUCAUAGUUUUUCACUUUUCUAUCACACAUCGAUGCGUGUGUGACAUAUGUUUAGUUCAGACUUACGUUACAUCCAUUGCUUCAUACAUACAAGUAUACAUGGUGUAACAAAGAUCAUAAAUCUAUGUGUUGAGUUGGGCCUUGUUUAGAUGCGAAAACUUUUUGGAUUUCACUACUGUAGCACUUUUGUUUGUUUGUUUGUGACAAAUAUUGUCCAAUCAUAGACUAACUAGGGUUAAAAGAUUCGUCUCGCGAUUUACAGUCAAACUGUGUAAUUAGUUUUUGUUUUUGUCUAUAUUUAAUACUUUAUGCAUGUGUUGCAAGAUUCGAUGUGACGGAGAAUCUUGAAAACAUUUUGGUUUUUGGGGUGAACUAAACAAGGCCUUAGUUUUUUCCCCCUAUAUUAAUAAUGGCUGAAGAUGGCAAGUAGGAAAAACAAUUACUUGGGGACAUUAUCUUUAAAAUGACGAGGCAGGCAUUUAGAUCCAUAUGUCUUCCUUUAUUUAAUUUAUUUUUACUAAUGGUGGAAGCCAGUGACUUGUAUGAGAAUUUAGAAGACUACUAUAGAUUAUUUUUCAUAAUUUUAUAAUGUUAGGAACAUUAGGGGCACCAUAUAUUGACCAAUGCCCAUGACAAAAAUCUGAAUUUUAAAGUGCACCAUAUAUGAAAUCAUAUGUGGCACAGAGGCUGUUUGGACCUAGAAGUCUUGGGUUUCUUUAGUAAACUUUAAUUUUCCAAGGACAAGGCUAUCUAAAAAUUCCCAUCUCACUGGCCCAGUAAACUGCAAGCAAUGUUUCUCAGAGAAGCAACACGCAAGGUUACAAGUUAAGCAUCAACAAGUAAACUAGAUCUAGAAUAAAUAACAGACCCUCUUGUCUACGAAGCACGAAACAGAGGAACAACUUCCAAUCCGCAAAUCCCAUCUCCUGUACCCUCCCCUGCUUGCUUUGUAAAAGGGAAAAAAAGAGCAAGAAUUUAGUAUACCUUGGGCCAGAAGGACGUACUGGGGCAACAGGAAGAUGCGAUGCGACGCGACGUGCAGGUGUGGACGCCCUUCCGCCUCUUGAAGCUCAAUCUGCUAGUCUGCUACCGGAUUCCGUGGACAGGGGCUGCAGUGUCAUGGCUUAGUUGUGCUCGGCGGCUGUGGGGAUUCCGUGGAGUAGCGAGAGCGGAAUCUGGGGAGGGUGUUGAGCACCGUUGGCGGACGCUGGGACUGGGAAUUGGGGAACGCCGGCCGGCGGCGGGGCCCUGUAUUGCCUGGCCUGCGCAGCAACUCCAGCAACGCUGAAAGCGCACGAGCUAACCAAUUUCUCAAAGCAAACAACAGCCCGUUGAGGCUCGUGGUGAUGGUACUCGAGUUUAACUCUAGACAACUAUGAGGAAGAUGGUUUUUCAUGUAUGCCAUUAACCAAGAUGGUCCCUUACUCCAUACCAUUAAAAAGUUAGAACCGGCCAAAUGAAAGGCAGACGGAAUGGUGUGCGAAGAUAAAUGUCAUGACACAGAGAUCCGCUCCAACUUUUUAAUGAUAUGAAGGAAGAGACCAUCUUUCUUAAUGGCAUAUAGGGAAAACAAAUGUUUCCUUCGUAGCUACAAUUGGGUACACAUGUUGUUUAUAUCGGCAUUUAUCUUUUUUUUUUUGCUGUCGAAUUUUACACAUAUCAGUUUAUUAUCACAACCGAACCUUUAAUUUAAAAAGUCAUAUCAGUUGUUGUAUGCUAUUGAAAGAUCAUAGUAUUGGGAUACUUAUUUGUUACUAUAUAAGCAACCUUUUAUAUAAAUUUUGAUCAAAUUUAAGAUAUUUUGACUUAAGGCCUUGUUUAGUUUCCAAAUCUUUUUGGGUUAGGGUAUUGUACCCCUUUUGCUUUUAUUUGACAAACAUUAUCCAAUCAUGGAGUAACUAGGCUCAAAAUAUUCAUCUCGCGAUUUACAGGUAAAUUGUGCAAUUAGUUUUUAUUUUUAUUUAUAUUUAAUGCUCCAUGCAUGUGCCGCAAGAUUCGAUGUGACGAGGAAUCUUGAAAACUUUUUGAUUUUGGGGUGAACUAAACAAGGCCAGUACUAUAUUUGUUCUUUUCCAGAUGAAGGGAAUAUAAAAAUAUUGAGUGCUGGUCUAUAAGUAUAGCUUAAAUUUUGGACUCUUAAUUUGAAGAAAUAUAUUUUAUAUGUUAUUUUCAUUUUGGAAGAUAGGAAAAACAUGUAAAAUAUUUUAUCGGAUCUAAAAAAUAAAUAUGCAUAUGAAUGAAUCUACAUGGUGGGUGUAAAAAAAAGUAAUGGAACAAUGUUCUAGCUUCUACUCAAUCAUCCCAAAUUAUAAAAUGUUUGACUUUUUUAACAUUAAAUUGGACCACUCGUUUUAUUCUCAAAUUUGUGCAAAAUAUCACAUCUUUUGUCGUGGCUUGGUCUAUUAAUAAAAAUUCUUCAAGAAUAACUUAAAUUGACUAUAUAAUGUGGUGCACCAUACAUAUGUAACAUUUUAUUUUUUAUUUUCCAAAAAACAAACCUUUACUGAUGACACGUUAAGGAGCGAACGGAUAAUUCUUACAUGCUGAAUAUAUUAUCUUGUUAAAUCUUGUCAUUUAGAAAAAAAAUCAAUAGCUCAGAUUCGCUUGACCUCUUAUGCCAUUUUUCUAUCUUAUAAUAGGAAAAAAGGGUGAUGCGGUUAGUUCUAAAGUUUAUAAAACGAAAUUACCGUGCAAGUUGCAACGGUGUGAGCCCCUAAUUAUGUACGUUGCUUCAUGUUUUUUGAUGGGAGCAGGAAAGUGUGGAGAAAGCGCCGGGAUUCCUGCACUGCAAACGCUAAUUUCCUGCACUGGCCACUGAUCGACGAAAAGAAUUUCUCUGUGGCUGCUAGUGCCGUUCCCACGGAUGCGGAUCAGUGGAACGCUGAUGAGGAUUGAGGACUUAAUAACCGAAUCCAUUUUCCUGGUGAUUAAUUAAUCGAAACCUGACGAUUAAAUUAAUGGAACUCACUGACACUCGCUUCGUUUUUUUUUUCUCGAACAACACUCGCUUCGUGACGCCUGCCUUUUUUUUCGAUCUGGAAACAAAAUAAUUAUGCACGCUUUCCGUGUUCGUUCUGGACAGUUUCGGACGAUGACUGUAUUUCGAACCAUGGUCAUUCAUGCUAACAUGGCCAUCGGAAUAAAUUGUGCUUAAAUGUCAAAAUAUAGGUGAUAGGACAGUGUUGAAGCCGAGCCAAAGAGGAAUGAAGUGGGCUUCUCAGAGUCAAAGUAGAGCUUUCACGAGCUUUAAUUUUGUUGCUCAAGACAAGAUAAAGUCGUGCAAAUAAAUGGUUCACAUUCCACAUGAUUGAGUACUCCCUCCAUACCAGGAUUAGAUGACGUUUAGGACAUGAUUGUGCUUACCAAUGAGCCAUUAAUUAGGAGCUAAUCUUCCGGUUUUGCCCUUAUUAAAUAGGGCCGAAGGUGUUCUCUAGACACGAGAGGUUCUCUUGGGUUGGUUUCAAGGUGCUUGUGGGCAAGGGUAGGCGUUCGAAUCCCAUUGCCUGCGCCUUUUUAGCAUGUAUGGGAGCAGACUUCCGUCUGUUAGCAUGUAUGGGCCUCCGUCCGUUAGCAUGCAUGGGAGACGUCCGGCCGCUAGCUUCCUUACGUUAGCAUGCAUGGCAGCAGGCGUCGGUUAGCAUGCAUGGGAGAAUGCAGGCCGCAGGCCGAAGACUAGGAGACACGCGUCCGUUAGCGUGGGAGACACCCGUCCGUUCACGUUGCGCGGGCGGAAGACCGAAAGACAAGGGCAGUCCAGUCCAUCGGACCCUUCGAAGCCCACGAUGUCAUUUUUUGCGGAAGCACGGAGGAAGUUCACAACGUCAUCUAAUCUAGGUUUGGAGGGAGUAUUUAUCAAGAGGUGAUCGGAGCUUUGGUUUAAUGUGUUGAGACUAACCAUAGCGUGAGGUUUAUGCAUACAUAAUGUCUCUUGUCUUCAUGAUGUGCAUGUGUUGAUCGUGUGAUGGUCAAUGGUAAUAGAGAAGGUUAAGCGAGAAGUCUGUACAUGAUGAACUGACAGCGGUGAAGGGCAGACGUGAAGGCUUAGACCGAGGGGUCGAGGGCAAAAGGAAGGACCGUGGAUGGGUAGCACUUGGAUACGUCGAUAAGCAAGUGUACAAGCGAUGAUGGUAGUGAAAACGGUGUUUAUCAAAGUCAAGAAGGCAAUGAGACCAAGUCAAGGCAGACGUGCUGAUGAUCGGACAAUCGAGGACUGCAACACCCCAGAGUCCAAACGGUUUAGAUCCACUCUAUACACUGAGCAAAAUCACACCUACCAUCAUCCCACUUACUCCUUUGUCGUUGCUUCAUGUAAAAAAAUUGACCCGAAGAUUGUGGAAUGGACUAUACAAGCCUUAUAUAUUGGUUUAACUUACCUUAACAAUCAUGAUGGGACUAAACCCUCCAUAAAAUCUUAUUAAUAUGCACUUGGGCCACUAUGGGAAAAAUUCUUGGUCAGAUGUGACAUACACCCACCUAGGGCACGACAUCCUUGUUGGCCCAACACACCCACAACUAGACAAAUGAUGACCAGAAAUGUUCCCUCUUAGCACACACGACCAUACGCCCAGUUCUACCACACAUGUGUCAUGCCAUGCACGCCACAUGGCCUACACACGCAAUGAGCCCCAUGCCCGCACUCUAGACCCUUGUGCGCCCAUAGCCAUCUGAUACCAUUUAUAACGUCCUAGAGUCCAACUCAGGUUCACUCUUCACACUGAGUGAAACCACACCUACCAUCAUCUUAUUUAUGCUUUCGUUCUUGCUUUGCGUAAAAGGAUUAACCUAGAGAUGGUGGGAUGCACUUUACCCUCAAAGGGCCCGACGUCCUCGUCGGCCUAACACACCCACAACUAGAAAAACAAUGACCAGAAAUGUUCCCUCUUAGCACAUGAAACCAUGCAUCCAAUGCCGACAUAUGUGCCAUGUAGUGCACCCCACAGGGCCUACAGGCACAAUGAGCCCCAUGCCUGCGUCCCUGACCCGCAUGCACCCGUGGCUGCAAAAGUCGUAUCUAAUACUAUUUGUAAUGCCUCAGUGUCCAAAUACCUUAGAUCCACUUUACACGUUGAGUGAACCAUACAUGCCACGAUCCCACUUACGCUUUCGUCCUCAGUUUCCGUAAAAGGAUUAACCCGAGGAUGGGGUGGACUCUAGAAGCAUUGUAUGUUGGUGUAACCCAUCUUUAACAACCAAGUUGAGACUAAACCCUUCACAACAUCUCAUUUACAUGGACAUAGGCCAAUAUGGGGUAAAUUCCAAAGAGGGCCGAAUGCGAUAAAAACAAAUGAGACAAGCGUCAACAUUGUGGAGAAGGCAUAGCAACUAUGCAACUCCAAGUGAGUUUGGUUGUUUGGGCCUCAAAACCUAGAUGAAAGGUUUGUCCAUCGAGGUGCAUCAACUUUGUGAACAGUCAUGACUGUCUGAUGCACGGAAUCCACUUUGGAUCAUUUUGCCCUGUGGCUAAGUAGUUCAAGGAAAAUAUCUAGCAACAGUCUUGAAAUAUGUAAUAUCCCUAUAAAUAAGGACAGUGGUUGCACAAGAUAGCUAUCUCUCCCACCCCAAGUCACUUCCUAGGCUAGCCAAGUGUUUCAUGUUUAGAGGAGAUUAGAAUUAGAGAGAGUGACCACCUCUUACACUAGUUUUUCAUCUGUAGAGGGAGGACAAAGGGAGGAGGCUAGAUCUAAUAUUGUAAAGAAGAUUUUAUGGCUAUCUAAUCAAGUUCAAAAACCGGCCUCAGCUAGUUUCCAAAACUAGCCUGAGACAGUUUUUGCUGUUUUCAGUAAAAUUCUCUCCAAGAAAAAUUUGAAAUAAAUUCAAAUAAGCUCCAAAAUUCUAAAACUUUGGCAGACGCCUUGAAUAACACAUUUAGAUUCUAUCCCCAAGAGGUCAACUAGAAAAUAUCAAAAAUUGAUCAGGAAUUUCAAAAUCCCUCUCUCAAAUUCUGGUUUUGUCAAGUAACCUCCAAAGGAUGAUUUCAAGGUGCUCGUGAGAAAUCAGUUAAAACCAGUGGCUAGACAAGUUACCAAGGAGUCAUAGAACCUAAAGAUUAAUCACGAACAACCCAAAACUUUCAGAUCAAAGAUCUCUACAACUCAGCUAACCAGGAGGUAAAAAAUCACCCAAAAAUGACCAUGAAGAUCACCAAAAAAGGAAAAUUGGAGGGAAAGAGAGAACUCAAGAUUUCAGCCAACUUGCUCCAAUUGGGCUGAUUUUUGGUCAAGAUCUUAUCUAUGGUGUUACAAAGUUCUUCACAAAAUUUUAUGGUCACUGACGGUCAUUUUAUCAGUUUUUGACUUUUGUGAGCUGUGUUUUGAAAAGAACAACUUAGGCCGGUUUUUAUAGUUGGUUUCUUAGUUUGCUUGCUUUGAUCUCUUUUUGCUUCCCAUGAUUAUUCGUUGCCAUCCUGAGCAUCUCUAGUCCAUCUUUUCUUUCUCGAAAAUGUAGGAGAGCUACAUUUUAUUGUAUUAAGAAGAAGAAAGUAGGGCAAGAGCCCUACAACAACUCACACCAUAUCCGUAAAACUUUUUGUCGGCGUAUAGACUCAGGAUCCAGGCUCUGACAACUGAUGAAUCUGCGUGCCCCUUAACCCGAAUGGUGAUGCAAGAAAACAUAGGGGGUUUAUACUGGUUCGGGCCAACGAUGCCCUACGUCUAGUGAGGGUCGGAGCCUGUAUUGCCUUGCACCCGAAAGUGCUUGUAGUAGGGGGGUACAAGCUUGUUGCGAGAGAGGGAUAAGUCCCAAGUCUCGACUUAGGGAGUGCGUGAGGGAAUGUGUUCAGUGCCCUAGGGCGUCUGACUCUAUGUGUGUGUGUGUGUGGCAACUAGAGUGUUCAUGUGCUAGUGUCCCCUAAGGGGUGCCUUGCCUCCCCUUUUAUAGCCAUAAGAGGGCAGGGUUUUUACAUGUGUAAGUCUAGUAAUUUAUCCUCAGUGUGCAGGGGAGCUACAGUGCCAACACUGUGGAGAUCAACCGCCUUGUCCUUGUGAUAUGGGUAGUGGUGUGGUCGUCCCCGUUGGUAGCAUUGCCGAACCCUAUUUGGGUCGUGGCCGUCGGAUCCGAGGCCCUGUUCCCCUUCCUGUAACAGUAAAAUAGUGAUUACUAGGGUAUGGUUACAGUAGCGUGGGUUAACUCCUCCCAUUCCUCCUACUGUCACGCAACACUUAUAGUGACAGAGGUGAGGCGUUACAGUGAUGGGAGUUGGUGAAACAGUGGGCUUCGCGCCCUAUCACGACGUGGGAAGCAUGGCUCACGUCGCAUUAGGGGUACGACCGCCGUGUGUGAGAAGCCUGGCGCCGAGGUAGAGGCUCGGUCGAGGCGUUGAUUGCGCUCGAGGCCAGGGGCUCUGGUGAGGCGUUGAUUGCGCUCGAGGCCAGGGGCUCGGGUGAGGCGUUGAUUGCGCUCGAGGCCAGGGGCUCGGGUAAGGCAUUGAUUGCGCUCGAGGCCAGGGGCUCGGUCGAGGCGUAGGUUGCGCUAUGGGUCCGGGCUUGUCUCGGUUCUUUUUGCCGCUUUUUCCCUUUUGGUUCGGGUAUCUCGGUUUAUGGUACCCAAUAGUAGCCUCGAGCCUAUGGAGGAGUCGGGGUGCUCCUCUAGAGGCUCUUUUAAGGGUAAACUGCUAGGAUGAGGUUCUUAUUUCUUCCAGGGGGUGCGCGCGAGCGCGAGCGCACCCACCGGGUGUAGCCCCCGGGCCCUAGGAGGAAUGAUGUCAUUCUUUCAAGGGCUUUUACUCCCUAUUGCCUUAGGGAGAUUUUGAGGGAUAGGGUACAUGUUCUUUACAUGCAGUGCCUGUUUCCCCGGUGUCGACGAAAGCUAGUCGGCAGUCCACCUUGGGGUUGAGGUUAUCGUCAGAGACGCUCCCGGCCGUUCGCGUGUACCGACACGAGUUGGCCGGCGGGACUUGAAAAAAUCCGCUGGAUCAGCUUGGUCAGGCUGACGCAGGAUUCCGUCUACUAGCUGGGAAGCUUCGAGUAGCUUGGAGUCAGCGCGAUCAAGCGCUUGGAGAAGGUCCGAGCAGUUGAUCUUCUUUCCCUUGUAGAGCGGGAACGGUGGUCGGGCGCUGGGUGCCACCACGCGUGUGGUCGGAGACGGCGUGAUCUCAGAUUGGAUCUGAGUUUCUUUCGAAACCGUGGUCGUGAGGCCGCCGCUGCACGUCGUCCAUGUGAUCUGGCCGACGGUGAACGUGAGGCCUUCAGGCACGGUCGCGGAAGCUGGGAUCGUGACCAUCUUGUUCGCCGGAGAAGUUGCACGCACACCCCCUACCUGGCGCGCCACUGUCGACGAAAGCUAGUCGGCAGUCCACCUUGGGAUAUACCCACGGUAGUAGUUUAUCGGUAGACGGUGCGCAAACUACGAACUCGAUGGUAACGCAAGACACGAGCAAGCUUUUUUUCCAGGUUCGGCCGCCGAGUUGGCGUAAUACCUACGUCCUGCGUCUGGUUGUAUUGAUUUGUGUUGAGAGAAUAUGAUGUCCUAGGGGGGUCCCUUGUCUCUCCUUAUAUAGUCCGGAGAGCAGGGUUACAGAUCUAGAAACUAAUCCUAGUCGGUUACAAUUGCAAUAGACAGUUCAUUAUCAAUUCCUAUUCUAACCGACUAGAAUCCUGCUUGAUCUCCACGUCUUGUUUCCUUGCGCGAAACUCCAAGGUGUCAGAUCAAACCUUGAGCUUGUCUCGUAGUGGGCCAAGCCUCCUGGCCCAAGUCUAGCCGUAAGGGUAUAGGGGUUUAUACCCCCACAGCUAGUCCCCGAGCACCAUGUAUUGUGAUGUAACACGCCGUCUUGAGCUUCUUCGGUCGGUGAAGCUUGACGUCUUUAAUAAGCAGGAAAAUCGCCCAAACAGUUGCAACGGUAUUUUGACCAACUCAAAAGACAGUUGGUCAAUUUUGACAUCGGAGAAGCAGGUUGUGCGAAGAAUGCAUGGUGCUCUAAAUCAAAAAAGAUUUAUUUCCUGGUGAAGUGUGCCCACUUUACUUUUCUGAAAAGUAUAGUCUUUCAAAAAGCAAGCAUAUUCACCGCAAGGUGAAGUGUGCCUACUUAGUCCCCGAGCCUGGUAGCAGGUGACGUAGGCACGUGGUGCCAGGGUCAAAAGAAUAGUUCUCAAAGAAUUUCUGUAACUGAGAUGCAUCGCCAGAUGCAUCGUACCGAUGUAGUCCCCGAGCUUGCUGGAAGGCGAAGUAUGAGCCUUGUAGCAAGGUCUAAAAAAUUAAAUUUACCAGUUCGUCGGCAAUUGAAUAGACUAUUCGACCAGUCCCCGGGUGUACAAUUGUAUGACGACCAGUCCCCAAGCAUCGAGCGCUCAGUGGUCGGUGCGAUAUAUUGAAGUUCGGAGCUGAUAGACUGGGCGACCGGUCCCCGAGCAUCGAGUGCUCGGUGGUCGGUGCAGUCCUUGAAGUUCCGAGUCGAUAAACUAUGCGACCAGUCCCCGAGCAUCAAGUGCUCGGUGGUCGGUGAAGUCCUUGAAGUUCCGAGUUGAUAGACUGGGCGACCAGUCCCCGAGCAUCAAGUGCUCGGUGGUCGGUGCAGUCCCCGGAUUGUUGACUCUCUGCCGUAUUUGUCUUCUUGUUUUUGAAAAAAUCUUUCUAGUUAAAGUUGACGUGACGAGACCUUCUGAUGGUGUGUCAGAUGGAUGCAUGAAAAGUUGCGCCUGGCAACUGUGCAGCCGCCCUUUGCGUGGUUUGUGAAAAGGAAACCAUCAAUUGGUACGAAAACUCCGCCGCAUUAAUUGUCUAUAAUCGUUGGAAACCGAAACGCCGCCAUCCGCCGCAUGGCCCGCCCACUUCCCGAGAAUACAGGAAGUGGGAGGGGUGGAGCUGCGGGUUAUAAGAGCUGGACAGUUCCGCCUGCACUGCUUACCCUGCCAUUGCCAUCAGGCCUUCCUCUUUUCCCUCCUUCAAUCACCUUCAUCUUCGUAACCCAAGUCCCCUCCUCCAAUGGCGAAGAGCGACUCCAAGAAGAGGGCCGAACUGAUGGCCAAGGAGUGGAAGAAGUCCCGCAGCACCACCAAGUCCCUUGGAGACCUCGUCGACAUGGGACUCCUGCACAGCUCGGAGCUCGGCGGCUGGAGAGCACCGGAAGGAGAGAGCUUCCCCGACCCUCGUGCCGGUGAGAUUGUCGUGUUCGAAGAUUUCAUUAAGAGGGGCUUUGGGGUUCCUGUUCAUCCUUUUCUCCAAGGUCUUCUUCUGUAUUAUGAGAUCGGGAUUUGCAAUCUGCACCCGAACUCAAUUCUCCUUAUCUCCACUUUCAUCCAUCUGUGCGAGGCCUAUGUUGGCAUAGAGCCGCACUUCGAUCUUUUUCGUUAUCUUUUCUGCUUGAGGAAGAAGGGAGCAGUUGGAGGCUCCAAGGUUGUAGGUGGAGUAUACCUCAACCUUCGUGAUGGAAUGAAGAAUCGCUACCUGCACUGUCCAUGGAACACUUUCUUGACCGAAUGGUAUAGGAAGUGGUUCUACGUCAGGGAGGAACUGGGCAGCUCCACGUUCUGCGACGUGGGAUACAUUCCCGAGAAGAGGGUGAGCUGGACCGACCGCCCGGAGCAUGAAGCUGAUCGACUGGUCGCGCCUGGACGGGCUUGGCGUGGUCGGCAACUUCAUUUGUCGUCGGGUGAUGCCCUGCCAGAAGAGGGUGCACUCGGCGUACGAGUACGCCGGAAGCGUGGACCCGACCAGGAUGCGACCGGAGAUCUUGGAGAAGGCGGAGGUGCAGCAACUGUUGAACGAGCUGUUCAACUUCGCGGACGGAGGCUUCAUCUGUGGCAGUGAUCGGGUGCAAGCCUUCAAGUUAGGACGACUAGCACCAAAGGUAUGUUGCAGAUUAUUGUGUUUUAGCAUUCGUAUAUCGCCUGCAGCUGAAUCAUCUUUGUUGCUUUUGCAGAUCGGCGAUGUCGACCGGUGCACAGUGUAUGUAUCGCUGGCACCGAGGAUGGAGAAUCCUGCGGGAGAAAACCCGCCAGAAGAGGAUGUUGCUCGGUGUUCUCAUUACACCAGCAGUGAGGAGGAACAAGCCCGCCCCAUCCCGACCACCGAGGAGAGGGUAGCGGGGAAAAGGCCAUUGCCGGCAGAUCCUUUGCCGACACCGACGUUGCCGGCAGAUCCACCGGCGGAGAGCAGCCAAGCACCAAAGCGUCGUCGGCUCGUGCGGAUCGUUGACGACGAUGACGACGGCGAGGAGGCGGCACCGUCACUAGUCCGACGGCCUCGGAGCCAAUCAGAUAGUGCGCCGGUCGCUGCUGAUCGGGUGGCCAGCGACCCUCCUGCUCCGCGAGUCGUCGAGAUGGGGGCGCAUGUGCCGACUGGCCGGGCGAGGAGGAGGUUCACCGCGACCCACCGUCGAUCGGACCUGUAAGUGUUCGACUUACGUAUUUUGGACUCCUCUUUCUUUCUUCUUUUUUUUUUUUAAAAAAAUUGCACUUUUGUUCCUUUAGCGCGGCGUCGGAUGUCGACCCCGGCCAUGCUGCCGGCCAGGGGACGAGUGAGCCGGUUUGCGCUGCUGAAGACGCGGCCGCGCAGACCACAGAGCAGCCUAGGGCUGCAGCCUUCCCUGGGAGCACCGAGGAGCUCCCGGCCGCGGCACCGACUACGACGGACAACCCGACCAGGGGUGAGGAGGCUACAGAGAUGCCGCCCCCAGCUAGCGCCACGGAAGGGGAGGGCAGAGCCCCGACCACUCCUCCCGCCGGGGAGACUGAAGUCCCCACGCCGCCCCGAGCAGGAGCCGCCCCGACUGCAGGCUCCCCAGGUCUGGCCCGGGGGCCAGUAAUGCCUGCGACCACUGCCGGGCGCAACGCAGUGCGGGAGGAGGAAACCCAGGCGGCCUCCGACGACGAGGUGGAGGAGAUUGAGGGUCGUCCCCGUGAUGGCCGCCAACACGUGUAUGUGUGGUGCCAACGCGGGGAUCACUUUAUCGGUCAUGAGGAGCUCGCCGAGACCGAGGAGGCCGCCAGGGUGGAGCGUGCGGCCAAACGCCUCGUCGACGAAGUCAAGGUAAUCGACUCUUUGUACUGCUGUACAUUCUGUGCGUUGUCUUGCUUGGUCGUCAUCUAUUCGUUUUGUAGGGCGCAAUGAAAACGGCGAAGUACCGGAAACGGUGCUUUGACCAGAUAGAAGGCGUCGUGGCCGAGAACAAGGCCCUGUUGGCGGAGGUGGACCGGCUGCGGUCGGAAGUCGGGGAGAAAGUGGCCGAGAUGAACGCUCAGGAGGAGCAUCGUCUCGAGCUCACUCGUCGCUUGGGCGACCAAUACCGGCAGCGAGAAGGUUAGUCACACGCUCCGAGCAGCUUUGUAUAGCUGUGUGGUUUGCUUUGCUGACCGGGUUGUGAUUCACGUAGACAUGGAGGAGGAUGUGGCGCGCCUCCGACAAGAGAAGGAGCGGCUCAGCCAAGAGCUCGCCGGUGCGCUGGAGUCCGGGCGCCGAGCAGGAGAGGAAUUGGGUCGGAAGGACCGGGAGUUAACUGGUAAUGCGCGCCGCCCCGUUAUCUGCUGCUUGUCACCCAUUUGUUUUUUUUGAUAUGUCGAAAAUAACGUUUUGCUUGAUUUGCAGUGCUCAAGGUGAACGCCAAGAAGCACCUGGAUGAGCUGGUCAAGGACCGGGACUCCUGGAAGGUCAACUGUUGCAAGAUCUGGAGAGGAAUAUCCCCGGUCCUGGAUCUGAUCAGUCCCGAGCUUCCGGAGAGCCAGCCCCGCGCGCCGAGGUUGACCCCGGUGGAGAAGGCGCAACGUGCGUGGGACUGGCUCCAGCAAUUCGUGAAGGACGCUGGGGAGUUUGCUGGUGCGCAUGUCCUUAGCAUGGUGCGUGCCCACUACCCUCUGGUCGACUUGUCUAGGCUGGAGAAGGGGUACCCCAAGGAGGUCGGUCCGCAGGAGGCGGACGAGCUUCGGGGUGGUCUGCUAGACUUGUCAUCGACGGCGAUCGGCGACAUCAAUCUGUGCGGAACGGCCACUCCCCCAGACCAGCCGAGCUCAGACAGGUCGGCCAGGGAGCUGUCGGGCGCGUCCAUUGCGGGAGAUGGGCGGUCGACGCCUGCGGUCUCGACCAGCCAGGCGCCGGUGGCCCCGGCCCCUUCGUCCGGGCAGCAGGGCCAGGCGGGUGAUCAGCCCGAGCAGCUAGGCCAAUAGAGUAGUCUGUAGGAAUAGACUAGUGUCUGCCCAUCAGGGUAUUUAUUGUAAACUUUGUAUGUAAAGUUUGUAAUAAAGUUCGCUUUUUGUCAUGACUGUCGUUUUGAGCGCUAUAUAAUUAUCUGGGUGACGUGUCACCGUGUUCAACUUGGUAGUCGCUAAGAGCAUCCAUUGCAGAAGUUUUGCCGAGUUCUGUGUGCAACAAAGUAUAGGCAAAAAAUAGAAAAUCUCAUUAUUGACAAUUAUAAGAUACUUACAAAGGAAAGUUAUUAAAACUUUAUGGAUAGAAUCGUCGCAGUUUGUCUAUGUGCCAAGAGUUAGGCACACGUGUUCCAUCUGGGUAUGCCAAUCUGUAGGACGUAGGUCGUGUGACCUCGGUGACCACGAAGGGUCCUUCCCAGGGAGUGGAUAGCUUGUGCAUUCCCUCCUGGCUUGUUUUCCACCUAAGGACCAGAUCGCCGACCAUGAAGGAACGGUCCUUGACGUUCCUGUUGUGGUAUCGCCUGACUGCCGCGAGAUAUUUUGCUGUUCGGAGACAAGAAUUCAAACGCUUUUCCUCCAUGCAAUUGAUUUCGAGUUCUCUGGCGUUAUCGGCUGUCGCCUGGUCGAAGUGUUCGAUCCUAGGAGAUCCGAAGGUUAUGUCAGAUGGUAAGACUGCCUCGGAGCCGUACACCAUGAAGUAGGGAGACACUCCUGUGUUUCGACUCGUAUGAGUUCGGAGGCCCCAGACCACUGCCGGCAACUCUUUCAUCCAUCGACCAGGUGCUCUGUCGUUCUCGGUGUACAGCCUUUUCUUUAGGGCAUCAAUGAUCAUUCCGUUAGCACGUUCAACUUGGCCAUUGGCACGUGGAUGGGCCACUGACACGUUGUUGACACCGUUUUUGGGCACGUGUCUAGGAUGGCAGGAUAAGGUGGCAGUACGAUGUUUACAAAGUAGGUUGCCGAUGAGGAUGGUUGCCGAUGAGGGAGAAGUUGAACGUGACUAUGUCCACAGGCAGUAAUAUGGUGCCGAUGGCUAGAUAAGAAAGUCUGCCGAUGACUAUGGCAAAGGGUCUGCCGAUGAUGCAAAGAGGGAGUCCGGAAGCUGCCGGUCGUUAUGUGGAGGAGUUUCGGUUUGUCACGAGGGAUAGUUUUGUUAUUUCCUUAAUUAUUUGCAUCGUUUUGUAUACGGAUUCCGUGUAAUUUGGAAUUCGAAUUCUAAUCAUGUCUGGUUGUAGCUCUUUGAGCAGGGUAUAAAUAUAGACCCUAGGGCCUUGUAAUAGAAGAUUAAUCAAUAAAUCAAACACACGUUUUUACUCAUAUUCCAGCAUUUACUUUUCGACGACUUCGUCAUACUUUUUCCUUUUGUUACGAGUUCUUAGGAAUUCGUCGACUUAAGCUCGGCGUGUUCUCAAGUUCCGCGUGAGUACCUCUUAGCCGUGACAUUCGGGCGCAUCACUGUUGUCAGGACUAAAGUAUUCGAGUUAUCACCUUUGCCGAUAGCAAGGUCAAAUCGGCUGGCACGCCUUAACGUUUGAAUCGGGUAUUAGCCCUUUGUGUUUGCAGAUCAGUUUUGCAUCAACACAUCUUUUGGCACGCCCAGUGGGACGGUAUUCAAGAUCAAGAUCAACAUGUCGAUCUCUGACCUCGAUCAAGAGAACGUCAUCCCCGUGACGGAGGCCAACCUCAAGGAUGAGCAGAAGCAAGCUAUUGCACAAGCCAUGGAAGAGUUCAAGCAGCAAUGCCUGAGGUCUUUCAGCAUAAACAGGAGCGGCGAAGUGGUCCAGAAAGAUGCUCUGCCGGCACCACGGCAGGUUACCUUUGACGCCAAUCCUGGCAAGCUUCAAGAUAUGGUUGACAAUGCCAUCAAUCGAGCGUUGAUUAACCAAGCUGGUGUACUGUCUAAUACGGUUUUCAAUGCCGUGGCAAGAAAUUUCAAGGAAGGACAAAUCCCACCAGAUUAUGUGGGCCCCUCCCAUCAUCAGCCAACGGCACCAGAGGUCACGGCUCCAUCGGCUGCCUUGACGACUGCAAGUGCACAAUCUGCCGUCCCUCCAAGUACAUCGGGGACUACUGGUGCACUAUCUAUGCCGAUGACAACCAACCCACAAAUUUCAGUUGGGCAGCAUAAACUGACAACAGAUAUGUUGGCAUCGGCAAUGUCAGGGUUGACUCUUCCUCCCAACUGGUGGGGUUACGGUAUGCCUCCAGAGUUGACACCGGGAACAUCACAAAUAACUGACAUGAGGGGCAAAACUCCUAUGACAUCGGCACCUCCCAAUGCGCCGGUGAACCAGAGUCCUCGGUAUACCACAACUACUACUACAAGGCCUCACACUGGAAAUCCUCAAGAUUCAAUGUUCGAGAUGCCCAACGCAUCGGCAGAGUCAAUGCUGAUGCAACAGAGGUCUAUGGCUCAGUCGGGGUAUGUCAAUUCAACGACGGUAGCCAAUUACCAAUCAUCGGCAGCACCUAUGCUGAUGAACGCUAAUAAUGGAUGGCUUGGACAGCAAGCCUUUCCACAAUCGCCCCAGCAGAGUUACCAGACUACAGGGUUCCAGCAAGGGCAGGUCUAUCCCGGGUUCCAAGGUCAGGGGAUUCCCAACCAGCCAAUGAAUUUUGGACAGCAACUCGGAGGACAGCCAAUCGGUGGACAGCAGUUUGGUGGUCCGCAGAUUGGAGGACAGGUGAUCAAUACAAUGUUCCGUGCAGAUCACGUUUCGAACAGACACGUGGAGGUUCGCCACCAAGUGCCAGAUCCGCAGCCGCCUCAUCGGCAAGAUGCCGAUGCAUAUUGGGCCGAUAAGAUUGCUGAAGUAAUGAGGGAACAAUUUGGGAUAAAACCCAAAGUCAACACUUACUCUUAUCGGACACCGUAUCCUCCCGCGUAUGAUUUGAUCCCGCUUCCACAUCGGUACAAGGUACCGGAUUUUACAAAGUUUUCCAGGCAGGACGACACGUCAACCAUGGAGCAUGUCAACAGGUUCAUCAUUCAAUGUGGAGAGGCUGGUAACAGGGACGAAUUGAGGGUUCGUCUAUUUUCAUCAUCAUUGUCUGGAUCGACCUUUACUUGGUUCAUAUCAUUACCUCCCAACUCAGUAAUUACUUGGGCCGAUCUAGAGAAGCAAUUCCACAAAUACUUCUUCUCGGGGGUUCAUGAGAAGAAGAUCACCGACUUGGUCAAGUUGAGGCAACGUAAUGAUGAGUCGGUUGAGGGUUUUGUGCAGAGGAUACGAGAGGUCAAGAAUAAAUGCUACAGCUUGGUUCUGGAUGAUCGGCAGCUAGCCGAUUUGGCUUUCCAGGGUUUGUUGCCACAUAUCAGGGAUAAGUAUGCCUCUCAGGAGUUCGAAAGUUUAAGUCAUUUGGUGCAGAGGAUUUCUGAUCAAGACAUCAAGCCUUUCGAGCCUAAAAGAGCAUGGAAUAGGAAAGUGUCAUUUGUCGAUGAAGCAACAAGCUCAGAUUCUGAUGAAGAACCAGUAAUCGGCUUGGCAGAGUGGGUAAAAAACAAGAAGCCGAUGUCUUGUCCUUUUGGGCAGAAGGAACCAGAGAAGUUUGCUUUUGACACCGCUAAGGCUGAUAGGAUAUUUGACUUUCUACUUCAGGAAGGUCAGAUCAAACUGUCACCUAACCAUGUGAUCCCAUCGGCAGAAGAGUUGAAGAGGAUGAGAUAUUGCAAGUGGCAUAAUGCAACUUCCCAUGACACCAACGAGUGCAAAGUAUUCAGACAGCAGCUGCAAUCGGCUAUAGAGUCAGGGAGAAUCAAGUUUGACAGUUCCAAAGCCCAGAAGCCGAUGAAGAUAGACCAACAUCCUUUCCCGACAAACAUGUUGGAUGCUAAGGGGAAGGCUAAGGUCUUAACAUCGGAGACAGCUGAGAAGAGUGCAUCGGUAGAUCCUCAGCAUCAAGUUACUACUGCCGAUGCAAGAAGUAAGGGCUUGGUCCAGGAAGGAACUAGCUCAGGAAGGCCUCCUCGAUCUGGUAUCGUCAUAACUCAUAGAAGGCCUCGAGGAAAUUGGCAACAACGGGAAGAUCGGUAUCGGCGCCAGCAGGAGGAUUAUCGACGGGAAGAAGAAAGACGCCGACAGGAGUGGAAUCGGCACAGGGAUCAUUGGAAUUGUCCAUUCUUCAUCCAUUGUUGGGAGGAAAAUAUCAAGCUUCCUACUGUCAGAGACUGCCCUGAGUGCAACGGUUAUGAUCGGUAAGAUAGGAUCGAUCGACAUUAUCAUGAUGAUGAACGGCGAUUUAAUGGGCCGAUCAGAGGAAGGGUGUCAGUUCAUGACCGGCUGGGGGGCAGAUUUAGUGGGCACGACAGACUUAGUGACCGUGUCCAGUAUUUUCCCAGGAACCAAGAAGAGCUCGAGGAAAUGGCUGAUGUGCGGGUUCCCGAUGAAUUCAUAUUUUGCAGGGAUGCUAACACGCAUCGUAUGGAGUCAAGGGAGAACCGACGCCCGACGGCAAGGCAAAGGCCACUUCCUCCAUGGUGCCCCGGAGGAUUAACCAAGACACAGAAAAGGAGGUUGCAACGUGAAAGGCAAGAAGAGCUAAACAAGGGAGAGAACUCUGGAAGUCGGCAGCCGUCAGACACUAAGAGGGAAGGUCCGUCGGCAGGCGUCAACAUGGUCUUCAUGUUGCCGAUGGAGUUUCUUGCACUAGCCAGUGAUGAUGAGUUGGAAUUUUCUGAUCAGAUAGCUCAGUUGGCUCUGGAUCCGAUGACGGCUAUCUUUGAGAAACCUGCCGAUGACGAGAGGCAGCAUCUUAAAGCUCUGUUCCUCAAAGGAAGGGUUGAUGGGCAGCCAAUGACCAAGAUCCUAGUUGAUGGUGGAGCUGCUAUUAAUAUUAUGCCGUAUGCAGUAUAUCGGAAGCUUGGGAAAGGGGAUCAAGAUUUGACCAAGACCGAUAUGAUGCUCAAAGACUUUGAAGGAAACGUGUCUCCAGUCAAGGGGGCGAUAUGUGCAGAGUUGACCAUCGGCAGCAAAACCUUGCCGACAACUUUUUUCGUGAUCAGCGGAAAAGGUGCUUACAACUUAUUAUUGGGAAGAGAUUGGAUUCAUGCCAAUUGUUGUAUCCCAUCUACAAUGCAUCAAUGCUUGGUUCAGUGGGUAGGUGACAAGAUUGAGAUUGUCCCAGGAGAUUCUUCUUAUGUUAUCGCAUCGGCAGAAGCGGAUACUUACGAAAGGACCAGGUGCAUUUCAGGAGAAGUUUGGGAGAAAGAUUUUCUCAAAGUUGCCGAUUAUGAGAUUCCACCGAUCCAAGCAGUCGGUUCUGACGACGGUUUUUAAUGGAUAGAUUCGCCGAUGAUGGAAAAUUAGGCCAGGGAUUCACAUCGGCCGAUGAUUUGGUAGAAGUAGAUAUAGGUAGUGGUGAUAAGCCUAGGCCUACUUUUAUUAGUGCUAAAUUAGAUCCUGAGAGUAAGCAACAAUUGACUAGUUUGUUAAAGGAAUAUAAAGAUUGCUUUGCUUGGGAUUAUACCGAGAUGCCUGGUUUAGACCGAUCAAUUGUUGAACAUCGGUUACCCAUCAAGUCUGGGUUUCGGCCACAUCAGCAACCAGCCCGCCGAUGUAAUCCUAACAUUCUACCUGAUAUUAAGGCCGAAAUCACCAAACUUAUUGAAGCUAAGUUUAUUCGGCAGUGUCGGUAUGCCGAGUGGAUUUCCAAUGUUGUUCCGGUUUACAAGAAGAACGGGAAGCUUCGGGUGUGCAUUGAUUUCAGGAAUCUCAAUAAAGCUACGCCGAUGGAUGGAUACCCAAUGCCUGUCGCUGAUCUACUGGUUGAUGCUGCGGCCGGUCAUCAGGUCAUCAGCUUCAUGGAUGGUAAUGCAGGUUACAAUCAAAUAUUCAUGGCGGAGGAGGAUAUUCCAAAAACCGCAUUCAGGUGUCCUGGUCAUGUUGGGCUAUUUGAAUGGAUAGUCAUGACUUUUGGGUUGAAGAAUGCUGGUGCUACUUAUCAAAGGGCUAUGAAUUUUAUAUUUCAUGAGUUCAUCGGCAAGCUCGUGGAGAUUUAUAUUGAUGAUGUGGUGGUUAAGUCUGGAGAUUUCUCAAAGCAUCUUGCCGAUUUACAAAAAGUGUUAGAGUGCACAAGGAAGCAUGGAUUGAAGAUGAAUCCCAACAAGUGUGCAUUUGGUGUAUCGGCAGGGCAGUUUCUUGGUUUCAUGGUACAUCAGAGGGGUAUUGAAAUUAGUCGAAGAUCUAUUGAUGCCAUCAAUAAAAUAGUGGCCCCUACCAACAAAACCGAGCUCCAAUCCUUGAUCGGCAAGGUAAAUUUUAUCAGAAGAUUUAUAUCGAAUUUGUCUGGUAGGAUUCGUGCUUUCAGUCCUCUUCUUAAAUUGAAAGCCGAUCAAGAGUUUAUUUGGGGAGAAGAAUAGCAGUUGGCUCUGGAUGAAAUCAAGAAGUAUCUAGUAAAUCCUCCAGUUCUAGUUCCACCUCAACAAGGGAAGCCCUUCAGAUUGUAUUUAUCUACCGAUGGAUCGGUUAUCGGUUCAGCUUUAGUUCAAGAAUUUGAAGGGAAAGAAAGGGUAAUUUAUUAUUUGAGUAGGAGGUUGAUUGAUGCUGAAACCAGGUAUUCGGCCAUUGAGAAACUAUGCUUAUGCUUAUAUUUUUCAUGUAUCAAGCUGAGACAUUACCUGUUAUCGGCCGAAUGCACUGUUGUUUGCAAAGAUGACGUGGUCCGAUACAUGCUAUCUAUGCCGAUUAUGAGUGGUAGGAUCGGUAAAUGGAUUUUAGCGCUGUCGGAGUUCGAUUUGCGUUACGAAUCGGCUAAGGCAGUCAAAGGGCAGAUUAUGGCCGACUUUGUGACUCAGCAUUGCGGUCUAGUGGAAACCUUGGAAAUUGUACCCUGGACGCUCUUCUUUGAUGGAUCUACCUGUGACCGGGGGGCAGGAAUCGACAUUGUAUUAGUUUCCCCUAAGGGGAGGAAGUAUGAGUUUUCCUUGCCGAUUGUUGCCACAUCAACAAAUAAUCAGGCUGAGUAUCAGGCUCUGAUCAAGGGAUUGGAGUUGUUAAGAGAGGUUCGUGCUGAUGCUGUUGAAAUAUUCGGGGAUUCUAUGUUGGUUAUAAAUCAAUUGGCCGGAAGCUAUGAAUGCCGAAGUGAAGUUCUCAUAACUUAUUUCGAGAGAAGUAUGCAACUGUUAAAGGAAUUCAAGGAUUUCCGAUUGGAGCAUGUUCCCCGAUUGCAUAAUGAAGACGCUAAUCGGUUAGCUCAGCAUGCCUCGGGAUAUCAGCCCAUGAUUAAUGCGACAUCGGCAGUCGGUGCCGGUGAUUGGAGGAAAGAAAUUAUUGAUUAUCUAAAAGAUCCAUCCAAAAAAGUUGAAAGACGGGUUCGAUUUCAAGCAACCAAGUAUGUGCUCCUUGAAAAUGAAUUGUAUUAUCGAACUAUCGACGGGAUUCUUCUCCGAUGCUUGGGUGAUGAUGAAGCUAGAAGUUUGAUGGGGGAAAUCCAUGAAGGAGUGUGUGGAGCGCAUCAGUCAGCUUUUAAGAUGAAGUGGAUGAUUCGAAGGAAUGGAUAUUUUUGGCCAACCAUACUUGAAGAUUGUUUUAAAUAUUUCAAGGGAUGUCAAGGUUGUCAAAAGUUUGGUAAUAUCCAGAGAGCACCCGCAUCGGCUAUGAAUCCUAUAAUAAAGCCUUGGCCGUUCCGGGGAUGGGCCAUCGAUCUGAUCGGCCAGAUUUAUCCACCAUCUAGCAAAGGGCAUAAGUUCAUUCUAGUUGCCACUGACUAUUUCACUAAGUGGGUUGAAGCUAUUCCUUUGAAGAAAGUCACAUCGGCCAACAUGAUUGAUUUUGUGAAUGAGCAUAUUAUUUACCGAUUUGGGAUUCCCCAAACGAUUACUACCGAUCAGGGCACCAUGUUCACAUCGGGGGAGUUCGAUGAAUUCGCAAUCGGUAUGGGAAUUAAAGUGUUGAAUUCUUCUCCUUGUUAUGCUCAAGCCAGUGGGCAGGCCGAAGCGUCUAACAAAGGAAUUAUCAAGCUUAUUAAACGAAAGAUUGAAGAAAAUCCUAAGCGGUGGCAUACAUUAUUAAAUGAAGCAUUGUGGUCUUAUCGGAUGGCUUGUCAUGGAUCGACCAAAGUAUCACCCUAUCAAUUGGUGUAUGGACAUGAUGCAGUGUUGCCUCGGGAAAUUAAGGCUGGAUCUAGGCGAUUAUCUUUUCAAGAUCAAUUAACUUCCGAUGGUUAUGCCACUUUGAUGACCGAUGAAUUGGACGAUCUAGCAGGGCAUCGGUUAAAAGCUUUAAUGAGUAUAGAAGAAAAUAAGAAGAGAGUUGCUAGAUGGUAUGAUAAGAAAGUGAAGGCUAAAGAGUUUGCCGAUGGGGAUUUGGUAUGGAAAUUAAUUUUACCAAUCGGGACCAAAAGUUCGAAGUUUGGAAAGUGGUCUCCUAAUUGGGAGGGUCCUUAUCGGAUAAGUCGAUCGGCUCCUGGUAAUGCCUACAUUCUAGAAACCCUCGAAGGAAUUGAAUUUCCCAGAGCAUUAAACGGCAAAUAUUUAAAGAAGUACUACCCCAGUAUAUGGGUCGAUGCAUAGAAGUUUAGGUGCCGGUAACACCUAUCGGCUGGAUCCAAAUGCUUGGGGACAAGACUUGGUGUUUCAAAAGUUUAGGUGCCGAUAACAGUCCUAUCGGCUAGACUAAAAGCUGAGGAAGUAGGAAAGCGCAGAUAUAAUGCCGAUGGAAACUCUAUGUGUUAAGCAGCGUCUGGAUUGCCGAUAUAGCGCGUAGCCGAAUUUGGUUGGCUGCUUCUAUCUCCUUGAUGUCAUCAUCGGCAGAACCUUCUAUCGGCUUCAGCUUCUUCUUCAGUUGAAGUGCCUUGCGACCAUGAGCAUUUCGCUCGUGCUCAAGAAGCCUGAUGGUCUCUGGCAAUUGACUCUCUUCCUGUUGGGCUUGGGACAGAGCGUUCUCUACUUCCUUGAGCUCCGCCAACAGGGAUUCUUUUCUUGCCGAUAGAUCGGAUAUCUUCUGCUUCAGCGUGUCUCCAGAAGAUCUCAGGAUACCGAUGUUCUUGUGCUUCUCAUCGGUCAAAAGCUUCUCUUUCCUCAUUUCAUCGGAGAGUUGAGUCUGAGCGGCUCUAUCGGCAAGACGCCGAGAAGCUCUCUGGUACUGCAGCUGGCGACUCUCCAGAUGAGCGGCUUGGAACAGGAUUUCUUCAACAUCGGCUGGGAUUUGGCCUCUGAGAGUUCUGAACAGGGUCUUGGUAGGGUCGGAAUCAUCAACCAAUUGCGCUGUGUCCUGGUGAAGGAGAGCUGACAAUUCUUCCAGCCUGACCCUGAUCUCUGCCGAUGUGAUGCCGACCGUCUGAGAAGAGCUUGCUUCUUCACCUUCUUCUUCAGAGAGAUCGAUGGCGAAGGAGAACAGGCUAUCGGGAGAAUCUUGUUCCUGGGAGGGAAAGCAAAAUUAGCUCAUACUCAGAGAAUCGGCAAAUAGUGCUAACGGUAAACGGUGACUUACUUGCUUCAAAGCGAUCUCUUGUCUUUGACUGAGAAGUGCUGACGGAGCUGCAGGCUGAUCGGCCAAAGAUGCCGAUGGAGCUACAGGUUGAUCGGCUGAGAUUGCCGAUGGAACGAUAUCAACUGAAAGAAGACAAAAGGAGUUAUGAGACUAAAUAAGAAUAAGUUCAUCGGUAGCGAUAUUGUUAAAGUAUGUUACCUGGAGGAGGGACGACGGUUGUCUGAACCAGGAGAACUGCCGAUGGUAUAACUGGACCCACCGGGCCAGUUGUUUGUUCACCCAUGUCAGCUGAUGUAUCUUCUGUUUGAGAUCCUUCCUGUUGGGGUUCUUCUAUCUGUGGUGCUUCUUGCAUAGGUGGGGGAGAUGGUGCUUGCUGUGGCUGGGCUUCUGGAGAAGAAGGAGAAGACUCCACCGGAAUUGGAGAUACCGGAGGAGGAGGGGGAGUUGCUACCUUCUGGCGCUUUGUUCCAGUCUUAGCACCCGUGGUGCCCUUUCUCUUGGGUUGGCUAGACUGGGGGGCAUCGGUACUCUCACACCUGGCUUUCGCCGAUGCGCCGGUUUGCUGCAAUAAUGAACAAGAGUUUAUAAGCAUAAAUAUAGCCGAUAUAAAGAUAGUUAGCAUAAAGGAAAAGAUUUGACAAAUUGCCUUGAAAGCCCGCGCAAGAGUGGGAGCGGCUACCGUUGGUGAUGUCUGGGUUCUUCUGGUGGUGACUUUCCUGAGGCGUACACCCCGAUGCACGAUGGAAGCUAGAGUGGGAGCAUUGUGGCCGAUUGAGGAAAUCGGGCCUGAUGGAAACAAGUCGAUCGGCCUGCCACUCCUGCUAACCAAUGGAGGAAUAUUGUCAACCUGCAAAAAGAAUACAAGGGUAAGCUGCCGAUGGAGGUAAUAUUGAGAAAAUGAAACGUUGGUUUGAGUUACUUACAGUGUCAUCGGGAACUUCGUAUUCGGAGUCAAUCAUGCCACGGUAUGAAAGUGCCGAUCUGCAGAAUAGAUGCUCUUUCCAUUCUGCCCACCAUAACUUGUAUGCCUGAGUGAUAAAAGCAGCCGGAACCCAUUCUGACAGAUCUACAUCUAUAUCGGCGUUUGGUGGUAGUUGGGCUGCUCGAGUCCACUCAAGAAGGUUGUUGAUAGUUUCUCUGGGUUUUAUCACAUCGGCAUAAGGAAGUGCAAUCGGCAACUGGCCGAAAGCUAACUGGCGAGCUAAUGCCGAUGGAUUGUAAAAUUCGUAAGUUUGAGGGGAGGUUUUUGUGCUACCAAAGAAAUUCACUGGAAUGAUUCUGGGAGUCACAAUUGCCAUCAUCGCCUCAUUGUCCCUGUCAAGAGCUUCAUCAAAUGGAUUGAAGGUCAGAGGGAGCAUGCUAUCUGGGUCAUCAUAAGCCAACCAUGGUCGUUCGUCUCUGGUCAAACCCUCAUACAGAGUCUGGAAGAAUCGACCGAUCUGAUCUGGAUUACCCCCUGAGCCAGGCAGAACUAUGACAGCUUCGCCAAAGUUCAAGGGGGCGCGUGUUGCCGAUUCCUCUUCACCCAAUACAUGGUUUUCAGCUAUAUCUCUUGGGAAACGCUGUGUGAACAGGUUGAAGUUGAGACGGUUGUGCAGAUGCAGAUUGAGCCACAUGUUGACAAACCACCAGGGGCCUCCCAAGUUGCCAGUAGAUUGGCCGAGCAGAAGUUUCUGGGCUACUUGAUGGAGAAGGUGGUAAGCAGCGCCAAGCAAGUAUCGGCCGAGAGGGAAUCGGCCACCGUUAGCCAGUCUUUCUGCUGCCGAUAGGUAGACAGAAGUCGGUCCUGCCGAUCGACCACAGAAUACAAACUUGUCCAGCCACAUGUUCAGAAAGGUGGUUUGUUCCUUUAUGGUGACAGAUCCUUUCCCACGGUACUUCUGGAUGUGCCCCGACCAACCGCCGAUAGCGCGAGUCUCCACUUUGGCACUAGGGGCAGUAUCAAAAAAGUGGGUGCUAUCGGCAGAAGAUAUAUCUAGACCAGUAAGCAUGGCUACAUCGACAAGAGUAGGAGAAGCAGGGCCGUGGCCAAAGGCAAAAGCAUUGAGGGUGUCUGACCAAAAGUAGGAUGCAGCUAUCAGCAGUGACUCGUUCCUAUGCAUAUCGGCAAUGGACAAUCUAAUGCAUUGGGCUAGAUUCCUUUCACCCCACUGAACUUCAUUAGAGUUGCUGACCCUCAAGAACCAGUCUUUCCACCCUACAGUUGGGCUGGGCCAAGAGCAGAAGGUGUCCUUCCACAGAUCUAAGGAAAAAUUUUCGGCUCUGAAGGGGAUCCUGUUGGUUUCUGCGUUGAUAAGGUCAGUUGGAUCUGGGUCCCCUAGAGGGCCGAGGCAUUGAAGGUGUGGUUGAUCGGUGGGGAUGAUAAUUUUGUUGGACAAUUCCUAGUGAUUUUGGGCGUAAAAGGAAAUACAAAGAGGAAAGAAAAGGAAGAUGUUCAGUAAAAUGAAUUGCGAGUGAACAGGGAUAUGAAGAAAAAAUACAGAAGACGGGGUGGAGAUUUGACCUCAGGGACGACGAACCCGACGGCCAUCUUGCUGCGAAGGAAGCGUUUGAAGGCGCCGGAGUUGGGGAAGAGGGGUACUUGUCGGAGACCUUGGGAGUUUUUGGUGGCGCCGCCGCUGGAAAAGUAAAGUUGGGUAGUAGAAUGGUGUGAUGGGGAAGGAGUACCCAAGAAGGAACUAUUUAUAGGACAAAAUGGGCAAGGGCAAAUCCGACUUAUCUCUUUGCCGCAUCCGAGAAAUUCGAGGGUACUCAGGUGGAUAUGGUAACUGUUCGCACGGUAAUCCAGGGAUUGUGCAGGUGAUUUGACGGGAAGCGGUCAUUAUCUGAAGAUAUUUUACUGUGCGAGAUCUCCUGGUCGGUCCAUCGGCAAUAUUCUAUAACGGUCAUAUUGCCGAUGGGCGGAUAGAGGGGAAGUAACCGUUUGUGCGAAUAUCCUGGUCAGAACAUCGGCAGAUUUUUGUAACGGUAUUGUUGCCGAUGUACGACUGAGAAGAAUGCCCGUUUAGGAAGUUGGGGAUUUCGAGAAAUCUGCGGAGGAAUAGGAUCAGAGUUGUUCAGAUUGAGGUUGUCGGUUACCAGAUUAGGAGCAUUAAUUGCGGGAAAAGGCAUCAUUACUGCAGAGAAUUUCGGAGCAUUAAUAGUUUUAUACUCCGAAACUGGGGGGCAUGUGUUGACACCGUUUUUGGGCACGUGUCUAGGAUGGCAGGAUAAGGUGGCAGUACGAUGUUUACAAAGUAGGUUGCCGAUGAGGAUGGUUGCCGAUGAGGGAGAAGUUGAACGUGACUAAGUCCACAGGCAGUAAUAUGGUGCCGAUGGCUAGAUAAGAAAGUCUGCCGAUGACUAUGGCAAAGGGACUGCCGAUGAUGCAAAGAGGGAGUCCGGAAGCUGCCGGUCGUUAUGUGGAGGAGUUUCGGUUUGUCACAAGGGAUAGUUUUGUUAUUUCCUUAAUUAUUUGCAUCGUUUUGUAUACGGAUUCCGUGUAAUUUGGAAUUCGAAUUCUAAUCGUGUCUGGUUGUAGCUCUUUGAGCAGGGUAUAAAUAUAGACCCUAGGGCCUUGUAAUAGAAGAUCAAUCAAUAAAUCAAACACACGUUUUUACUCAUAUUCCAGCAUUUACUUUUCGACGACUUCGUCAUACUUUUUCCUUUUGUUACGAGUUCUUAGGAAUUCGUCGACUUAAGCUCGGCGUGUUCUCAAGUUCCGCGUGAGUACCUCUUAGCCGUGACAUCCGGGCGCAUCGCUGUUGUCAGGACUAAAGUAUUCGAGUUAUCACCUUUGCCGAUAGCAAGGUCAAAUCGGCUGGCACGCCUUAACGUUUGAAUCGGGUAUUAGCCCUUUGUGUUUGCAGAUCAGUUUUGCAUCAACACACGUAUUUUAUGACUAUGCCCCUGUCAUCGCAGAAGUCCCAAUAGGUGGUGCCAGUAAACUGGGUGCCUAGGUCAGUGAUUAUGCUGUUCGGGAUGCCGAAUCUGUGUAUGAUUUGAUUGAGGAACUCCACAGCCUUCUCGGAGGUUGCCUUGACCAGAGGCAUGUAUUCGAUCCACUUGGAGAACUUGUCGAUUAACACGAAAACAAACUUGAAAUUGCCUGGGGCUGGCUUAAAUGGCCCGAUCAUGUCAAGCCCCCAGCAAGCGAAGGGCCAAGACGACGGAAUGGUUUGAAUUUCGUGAGCAGGUACGUGGGUCCUCUUGGCGAAAAAUUGACAUCCUUCGCAGUGUCGGACCAGUUUUUCUGCGUCGUUGACCGCGGUUGGCCAAUAAAAACCUGCUCGGAAGGCUUUUCCGACCAACGUUCUGGAUGCAGCGUGAUUGCCGCAGGAUCCAACAUGUAUGUCUUCUAGGAGCUUGAUACCAUCAUCUUGGGGUAUGCAUUUGAGCAGUACUUCGGAGCUUGCGUUUUUUCGCAUGAGUUUUCCGUCGACCAGGAUGUAGUUCUUUGACCGUCGAAUGAGGCGUUCAUUCUCUGUUUUAUCCUGAAGGCCUGUCCCGUCCGAUAUAUACUUGAUGAACGGGGUACGCCAGUCACGCCCACCGGUUGUCGGAGUGGCGUCGUCUAUGAGCAUUGCCUCGGUGGGUUGCUUGUCGACCGGGGGGGAGCCUACGCUUGGCUCGUGGAUGUCCUGGACGAAAAUACCCCGCGGGAUCUAGGCCCGGGAUGACCCUAACUUUGACAACGCAUCUGCUGCUUGAUUCUUAUCCCGGACCACGUGGAUGUACUCUAUGCCGUAAAAGUUGGUUUCCCAUUUGCGAAUUUCUUUGCAGUAGAGAUCCAUCUUCUCGUGGUUUGCGUCCCACUCCUUGUUGAGCUGGUUGAUAACUAAAGCGGAGUCGCCAUAGACAUAGAGGCGCUUGACUCCUAGCUCAACGGCUAGUCUUAUGCCAUGCAGGCAUGCUUCGUAUUCGGCGACAUUGUUUGACGCCGGAAAAAGGAUCCUAAGGACGUAACGCAGUUUGUCCUUGUUGGGUGACACGAACAAUAUCCCAGCGCCGGCACCGUUGAUGUUCAAGGACCCGUCAAAGAACAUUAACCAGUGGUCGGAGACAUCGGGAACGGGAGGCUCGUUGAGAUCUGUCCAUUCAGCAAUGAAAUCGACCAGGGCCUGAGACUUGACAGUGGUGCGACUCUGGAACUC